rnacentral:rRNA from 1 species
AGGGCGUUUGGUGAAUGCCUUGGCAGUAAGAGGCGAUGAAGGACGUGAUACUCUGCGAUAAGUCAUGGGGAGCUGAGAAUAAGCUUUGAACCAUGAAUUUCCGAAUGGGGCAACCCACCUGAUAUUCUACUAUUGUUGCGCUUCGGUGCAUUCAAUAGUUGGGUAAACCAGGUAUUUAUAACUUGAAUACAUAGGGUUAUAAAAGCAAACCCGGGGAACUGAAACAUCUAAGUACCCGGAGGAAAGGACAUCAAUUAGAUACUCCCCUAGUAGCGGCGAGCGAACGGGGAUCAGCCGAACCAUAAAUGUGACUAGAAUAUGUUGGAAAGCAUAACCAGAGUGGGUGACAGUCCCGUAUAGGAAGCAUGAUUGGACAUAUUAAGUAGGGCGGGACACGUGAAAUCCUGUUCGAAGAUCGGAGGACCACCUCCGAAGGCUAAGUACUCCUUACUGACCGAUAGUGAACCAGUACCGUGAGGGAAAGGUGAAAAGCACCCCGACGAGGGGAGUGAAACAGUUUCUGAAACCGGACGCCUACAAACAGUUGGAGCCUCUUUAUGGGGUGACAGCGUACCUUUUGUAUAAUGGGUCAACGACUUGGUCUUACUAGCAAGCUUAAGCCGAUAGGUGUAGGCGCAGCGAAAGCGAGUCUUAAUAGGGCGAAUGAGUUAGUAGGAUCAGACCCGAAACCGAGUGAUCUAGGCAUGAGCAGGUUGAAGGUAAGGUAACACUUACUGGAGGACCGAACCCACAUCUGUUGAAAAAGAUCGGGAUGACUUGUGCCUAGGGGUGAAAGGCCAAUCAAACUCGGAGAUAGCUGGUUCUCCGCGAAAUCUAUUUAGGUAGAGCGUCAUCCGAAUACCCCGGGGGGUAGAGCACUGGAUGGGUAAUGGGGCCCCACAGGCUUACUGAUCCUAACCAAACUCCGAAUACCCGGGAGUAAUAGAUGGCAGACACACUGCGGGUGCUAACGCCCGUAGUGAAAAGGGAAACAACCCUGACCGACAGUUAAGGCCCCUAAUUCAUGGCUAAGUGGGAAAGCAGGUGGGACGACCAAAACAACCAGGAAGUUGGCUUAGAAGCAGCCAUCUUUUAAAGAUAGCGUAACAGCUCACUGGUCUAAUUUAAGUUAUCCUGCGGCGAAGAUGUACCGGGGCUCAAGCCAUGAGCCGAAGCUAGGGAUGCAAUUUAUUGCAUGGUAGCGGAGCGUUCUGUGAUAUAGAACGCUGCGUCUUUAGUAUCUUAGGAUAUUGUGGACGCAAUGUUCUGACUGUGAAGCCGGCGCGUAAGCGAUCCGGUGGAGUGAUCAGAAGUGAGAAUGUUGACAUGAGUAGCGACAAACAGGGUGAGAGACCCUGUCGCCGAAAGUCCAAGGGUUCCUGCUUAAAGCUAAUCUGAGCAGGGUAAGCCGACCCCUAAGGCGAGGCCGAAAGGCGUAGUCGAUGGGAACCAGUUUAAUAUUACUGGGCCAGGAGAUGGUGACGGAUCGAAAGCGUAGUGACUCCUUAUCGGAUUGAAGUUGCUGCCGGACGGUUCCUGGAAAUAGCCCUCCAUUAGAUCGUACCCUAAACCAACACAGGUGGACUGGUAGAGAAUACCAAGGCGCUUGAGAGAACUACAUUGAAGGAACUCGGCAAAAUGCCUCCGUAAGUUCGCGAGAAGGAGGCCCCAUCAGAAGGCAACUUUUGGUGGGGGGCACAGACCAGGGGGUGGCGACUGUUUACUAAAAACACAGGGCUCUGCGAAGUCGUAAGACGACGUAUAGGGUCUGACGCCUGCCCGGUGCUGGAAGGUUAAGAGGAGGUGUGCAAGCACUGAAUUGAAGCCCCAGUAAACGGCGGCCGUAACUAUAACGGUCCUAAGGUAGCGAAAUUCCUUGUCGGGUAAGUUCCGACCUGCACGAAUGGCGUAACGACUUCCCCGCUGUCUCCAAUGUAGACUCAGCGAAAUUGAAUUGCCUGUUAAGAUGCAGGCUUCCCGCGGUUAGACGGAAAGACCCCGUGCACCUUUACUACAGCUUCACACUGGCAUUAGGUCAGACGUGUGCAGGAUAGGUGGUAGGCUUUGAAACUCGGACGCUAGUUCGGGUGGAGCCUCCCUUGAGAUACCACCCCUGUCUGUCUUGAUGUCUAACCGCGGUCCGUUAUCCGGAUCCGGGACCCUGUGUGGUGGGUAGUUUGACUGGGGCGGUCGCUGUCUCUUAUACACAUCUCCGAGCCCACGAGACCAGAGAGG